GGGCCCAUAGCUCAGCUUGGUAGAGCCUCCGGCUCAUAACCGGAUCGUCCCUGGUUCGAAGCCAGGUGGGCCCACCA
rnacentral:tRNA from 1 species